UUGGUUAGCUCCUGGGCUACAAUGAGAAGAAACCAGUAAGCUAUACAGAAGGAGUUGGCCAAUGUGGAGCUUGACCACAGGCUUUACAAAAACCUUACUUUCCAUGUAGGCUUUCUCAAGAAACUACUGCAGGCUAAGCAUCCUACAAAAGGGAAAGUAAGUUUAAAUUACAAAGACAUAAAAUACAGAAAACUAGGAACCCAACACCAGAGGAUGAAGACUAGAAGAUGGAUGUUGGUGAGGAAAUGCCUCCGUCUCGGGAUGUGCAGCUGGUUAGAGUUCACCCAGGACAGAUGGAAGCAGCUUCAAAAGGAGAUAAAGCAGAUUGAUUAUUUGUUUUUGUUUCUGUUUUUUAACUGGGAUGUAAAGGCUUUUUCAGUGUCUUUUAAUAUAUUGAGAAAAUGAAGGAAGGUAAAAAUGACUGUGCAUGGGGUAGAAUUAGACAACAGUGUACUCAUAAAACAGUAUGAAAUAAAUAGAUAAUUAUUUAUGAGACAUAAUCAAUAAUAGCAUUAUAUUAUUUGGCAAAAUGGCAGUAAAUACAAGAAUAAAUCAGUAAAUAAUUUAAAUGAGUUUACCUGUGUGGCACAGACCUCCACUGGCUGGAGCUUGGAGUGGGCUGGCUGAAGAUUUUUGUUUUAAUCAAUAUUAGUAUUGAUCUUAUGCUCUUAGUAUCAUUUAAGUUUAACACAUGUAUUAUUUUGAUAACUGCAAUGCACUUCUUCAGUGAAUGGGUAGUGAGAAAGUGUUAUCUAUUA
rnacentral:lncRNA from 1 species